CUCAAAGAUUAAGCCAUGCAUGUGUAAGUCGAGUUGAUAUAAAGCGAAACUGCGAACGGCUCAUUACAACAGAUAUAAUCUACUUGUUCUAUUGAAUAAACGGAUAACUGCGGUAAUUCUGGAGCCAAUACGUGCACAAAGGCUCGUGUAGCAAUACGCGGGCCGCACUUAUCGGAGCAAAAUCAAUCUUGAUUGAAUGCUAACUCUGGAUAACCAAGCUUAUCGCAUGGCGCAAGCCGGCGAAGUAACAUUCGAGUAUCUGCCCUAUCAUCUAUCGUAGGUAGUGUAUUGGACUACCCAGGAUGUAACGGGUAACGGAGAAUCAGGGUUCGACUCCGGAGAGGGAGCCUUAGAAACGGCUACCAUCGCUAAGGCGAGCAGCAGGCGCGCAACUUAUCCACUGUCCACUCGGACGAGAUAGUGACGAGAAAUAACAAGCCCGUUCUCUUUGAGGUCGGGCAUUGGAAUGGACCGAACGUAAACGAUUCGGUGAGUACCCACGAGAGGGCAAGUCUGGUGCCAGCAGCCGCGGUAAUUCCAGCUCUCGUAAUGUAUAGAAUUAUUGUUGCGGUUAAAAAGUUCGUAGUUGGAUUUCAUACCGCUUCGCGGGUCGUGCCUAACGGUGCGCACUCGCGGCGGUGUUUCCACGCGGGCGGACUUGUUCGCCCACGUGGGGAUUACUUUGAACGGCUUAAGUGCUCAAGGCGAGUCUUCGGACUGAAUACCGGUGCAUGGAAUAAUGGAACAAGGUUUCGGCUGAGUUUUAUUGGUUUUGUCGGCUGAGACAAUGGUUAACAGGAACAGCUGGGGGCACUCGUAUCCCUGCGUGAGAGGUGAAAUUCGUGGACCGUUGGGAGACGCCCGAAAGCGAAGGCAUUUGCCAAGAGUGUUUUCAUUAAUCAAGAACGAAAGUCAGAGGUUCGAAGGCGAUUAGAUACCGCCCUAGUUCUGACCGUAAACGAUGCCAACUAUCAAUCCGCCAGCAGCCUCGUGUUGUUGGCGGGCGGAUCGACGGAAACGAAAGUGUUUCGGUUCCGGGGGAAGUAUGGUUGCAAAGCUGAAACUUAAAGGAAUUGACGGAAGGGCACCACCAGGAGUGGAGCUUGCGGCUUAAUUUGACUCAACACGGGAAACCUCACCCGGCCAGUACAUCAUAAGGAUUGACAGAUUGAAAGCUCUUUCAUGAUUUGAUGAAUGGUGGUGCAUGGCCGUUCUUAGUUCGUGGCGUGAGUCGUCUGCUUAAUUGCGAUAACGAGCGAGACUCCGACUGUUAAAUAGCCCUGUUUUUAUUGCAGAAAUAGCGGCUUCUUAACUGGAUUCGUAGCUUUAAGCUGCAAGAAAUGGAGCAAUAACAGGUCUGUGAUGCCCUUAGAUGUUCGGGGCCGCACGCGUGCUACAAUGAUGGUAACAGCGUGAUUGUCCUCGCCCGACAGGGCUUGGCAAACAGUUGAGAUAUUAUUAUGGCUGGAAUUGAGUGUUGAAAUUUUCUCUCAUGAACGAGGAAUUCCAAGUAAAUGCGAGUCAUCAACUCGCAUUGAUUACGUCCCUGCCCUUUGUACACACCGCCCGUCGCUACCCGGGACUGAGUUGUUUCGAGAAAUCCACCGACCAGUGUGCGAGCUUCGGCCCGUCACGCCGGGAAAUGGCUUAAUCGCAAUGGCUUGAACCGGGUAAAAGUCGUAACAAGGUAGC
rnacentral:rRNA from 1 species